UGCUGGUCCAAAAAUAGUUAUCUCAAUUGAUUGUUCACAGUUAGUUACAGAUCGAUUGAACUCCUUGUUCUACUCCUUUUCCUCUUCUCACUACUGCACUUGACUUGUCUUAA
rnacentral:Y_RNA from 1 species